GCUCCGCCCUUUACAGCCGGCGCAGCACGGCGCCGCGGGCGGCAUGAGCACCGCCUUCGUUCCGCCUCUCUGCCGGCCGCCCCGCGCAUCAUACCAUGGUCGGGUUGAAGAGCGUAGUGCUGUAGCUUCCCGGGGGUCUGGAGUACCGUGAGGGGACCAGUGAAAUUACCACAGUGUUAACUUGUAGCUUCCCACAGGGGCUUGUCAGGCAUCUUUAAUCUAAAGAAAGAAUUACAGCAAAGAACUGUGUAUUUACUAGACAGCUAACACAAGUACAACAUUUUAUAACUGGCUACUUCACCCUUGGCCUGGACUUCCUGCGCAGAACUUAUUGUGGUUGGUUUUACAGACAACUUUGUCCCUCCCUUUCCACUGGAGUUUUUGGAGUUCUCCCAGCCACAUGCAUCUUUGUUCCUCGGUGUGUAUGGCCUGUAAUCACAACUUAACAGAUAAAGUGAGUAGACAAACUCUCCCUCUGCUCUCACAAAACCUUUCAGCAAGAGUUGCAGUCUAUAUAUCCACUGUCUGAAAUGACUUGAAUCUUUCAUAAAGAAAGGGGCAAAAGGAUUUCAGUGCCUUGCCCCACUGGCUGAGUAUACAGGUCAUACAAUUCUUAAUUGUCUAUCAUUCAGAUUUGGUUGAAAAAGCUCGUGAAAACAGGUUUGGUGUUACUGUUUAUUUACAAGGAAUUAGAUUGUUUUUCUCCACAUUCAUAAAUUUACACUGAAUGUAGCAUGUCAUUUUAUUGCUGCAAUCAUGAAGUCCUUCUGUAAUGCAUGCUAUUCAGCUUUUCUCCUAUCCUGAACAUUUAGCAUCACCAGCAAGCCAUGUCACUUCACUAUCCACUAUCUUUUCUAUUUAUUUAGCUUUGAAGUAAAGUAGGUCCUACUGUACAUCCAGAGGGACAACUUCCAGAUGGUGAACUUCAUCAUCAUGAAAUUUUCCCCCUUGCCCCUACAUUGUCUUUCUUCUGUUUUAUGCAAUUACUUAUCCGCAUGAUUAUCCCAUGGUGG
rnacentral:lncRNA from 1 species